GUGCUUGCACNGAAUGAGAUUUUAACACGAAGUGAGUGGNGGACGGGUGAGUAACACGUGGGUAACCUGCCCAGAAGCAGGGGAUAACANCUGGAAACAGAUGCUAAUACCGUAUAACAGAGAAAACCGCCUGGUUUUCUUUUAAAAGAUGGCUCUGCUAUCACUUCUGGAUGGACCCGCGGNGCAUUAGCUAGUUGGUGAGGUAACGGCUCACCAAGGCGAUGAUGCGUAGCCGACCUGAGAGGGUAAUNGGCCACAUUGGGACUGAGACACGGCCCAGACUCNUACGGGAGGCAGCAGUAGGGAAUCUUCCACAAUGGACGCAAGUCUGAUGGAGCAACGCCGCNUGAGUGAAGAAGGGUUUCGGCUCGUAAAGCUCUGUUGUUAAAGAAGAACGUGGGUGAGAGUAACUGUUCACCCAGUGACGGUAUUUAACCAGAAAGCCACGGCUAACUACGUGCCAGCAGCCGCGGUAAUACGUAGGUGGCAAGCGUUAUCCGGAUUUAUUGGGCGUAAAGCGAGCGCAGGCGGUCUUUUAAGUCUAAUGUGAAAGCCUUCGGCUCAACCGAAGAAGUGCAUUGGAAACUGGGAGACUUGAGUGCAGAAGAGGACAGUGGAACUCCAUGUGUAGCGGUGAAAUGCGUAGAUAUAUGGAAGAACACCAGUGGCGAAGGCGGCUGUCUGGUCUGUAACUGACGNUGAGGCUCGAAAGCAUGGGUAGCGAACAGGAUUAGAUACCCUGGUAGUCCAUGCCGUAAACGAUGAUUACUAAGUGUUGGAGGGUUUCCGCCCUUCANUGCUGCAGCUAACGCAUUAAGUAAUCCGCCUGGGGAGUACGACCGCAAGGUUGAAACUCAAAAGAAUUGACGGGGGCCCGCACAANCGGUGGAGCAUGUGGUUUAAUUCGAANCUACGCGAANAACCUUACCAGGUCUUGACAUCUUCUGCCAACCUAANAGAUUAGGCGUUCCCUUCGGGGACAGAAUGACAGGUGGUGCAUGGUUGUCGUCAGCUCGUGUCNUGAGAUGUUG
rnacentral:rRNA from 1 species